rnacentral:tRNA from 1 species
GGGAAGGUGGCUCAGUGGAAGAGUGCUUGCCUUGCAUGCAUGAGGCCCUGGGUUCGAUUCCUCUCCA